rnacentral:rRNA from 1 species
UACGUAGGGUGCAAGCGUUAAUCGGAAUUACUGGGCGUAAAGCGUGCGCAGGCGGCUUUGCAAGCCAGAUGUGAAAUCCCCGGGCUCAACCUGGGAACUGCAUUUGUGACUGCAUCGCUGGAGUGCGGCAGAGGGGGAUGGAAUUCCGCGUGUAGCAGUGAAAUGCGUAGAUAUGCGGAGGAACACCGAUGGCGAAGGCAAUCCCCUGGGCCUGCACUGACGCUCAUGCACGAAAGCGUGGGGAGCAAACAGG